rnacentral:rRNA from 1 species
GAUGAACGCUGGCGGCGUGCCUAAUACAUGCAAGUAGAACGCUGAAGGAAGGAGCUUGCUCUUUCCGGAUGAGUUGCGAACGGGUGAGUAACGCGUAGGUAACCUGCCUGGUAGCGGGGGAUAACUAUUGGAAACGAUAGCUAAUACCGCAUAACAGUAGAUGUUGCAUGACAACUAUUUGAAAGGGGCAAUUGCUCCACUACCAGAUGGACCUGCGUUGUAUUAGCUAGUUGGUGAGGUAACGGCUCACCAAGGCGACGAUACAUAGCCGACCUGAGAGGGUGAUCGGCCACACUGGGACUGCGACACGGCCCAGACUCCUACGGGAGGCAGCAGUAGGGAAUCUUCGGCAAUGGACGGAAGUCUGACCGAGCAACGCCGCGUGAGUGAAGAAGGGUUUCGGAUCGUAAAGCUCUGUUGUAAGAGAAGAACGAGUGUGAGAGUGGAAAGUUCACACUGUGACGGUAUCUUACCAGAAAGGGACGGCUAACUACGUG